GACGAACGCUGGCGGCGUGCCUAAUACAUGCAAGUCGAACGAGAGCGACCGGUGCUUGCCCUGGUCAAUCUAGUGGCGAACGGGUGAGUAACACGUGGGUAACCUGCCCAUCAGAGGGGGAUAACAUCCGGAAACGGAUGCUAAAACCGCAUAGGUCUUCGAGCCGCAUGGCUUGAAGAGGAAAAGAGGCGCAAGCUUCUGCUGAUGGAUGGACCCGCGGUGCAUUAGCUAGUUGGUGAGGUAACGGCUCACCAAGGCCGUGAUGCAUAGCCGACCUGAUAGGGUGAUCGGCCACAUUGGGACUGAGACACGGCCCAAACUCCUACGGGAGGCAGCAGUAGGGAAUCUUCCGCAAUGGACGCAAGUCUGACGGAGCAACGCCGCGUGAGUGAAGAAGGUUUUCGGAUCGUAAAACUCUGUUGUUAGAGAAGAACAAGUGCUAGAGUAACUGUUAGCGCCUUGACGGUAUCUAACCAGAAAGCCACGGCUAACUACGUG
rnacentral:rRNA from 1 species